AAGAGGGUAAUCACCAGUCUUCAAAAACCUCUCUCCAGCACCAAUUGUAAUGCUAAAGUAAAAAUAUCCAGCAAUGCAAAUAAACCGUGAGUUUGUUUCCUCAGGAGGAAUUUUAGAGAUUGACACAAGUCAAGAUAUAGUUUCAAAGUUAUACUUACUCUGUCAGAUACCAGAAAUAGUCAGUCUUGUCCCAAGUCAUGCUUAUCUGUUCCACUAGCCCGUUUUUUGCAAACGUACCAGCUUCAUUCGCAGAAGGAGCCGCUUCGUUGUAUGAUUCCCAAGAGAAUCUGGUACCAGUUGGAACCAUAUUCCUGUGUACUCUUGGUGCGUUAACCUGUUUUAGUCAACAACACAAAGAUCAAUUCAAUCUUAAAAGAAGGUAAUUAACUUUCUUUUGACAUAAUUAUUUUUGUUUUUCUUUACCUUUGCGGUGUUGUAAUAUUCUGUUUUGCAAUCAGGUAGAAUACUGACUGACCAAGGAGGCAAAUCAUAUGGGAAUCCACGAAACAUAACUCUCGCUGCAGAAUUCGCAUCGUUGUUCGAUAGAAACGCAGCACAAGAGGAUUUAGACCAGAACACAUGAGCCUGAAAGCAACAUUCAAAAUGAUCAGUAGGUUUCUUUCUCAACUGAUAGAUUACAUAACUACAAGUUAUAAAAGCUUUGAUCUUUACUUCUUGUUUAGCUCCAAGCGAUGUGACGGUUGCAUCAGCAGAGACCAAAGCUGGCUCGCUGAGUUUGAUGACUUUAUGCAAUGCUUUCAAGUGACUGUACUUUGGUUCUCUUGUUAAGCCUUUAAGAAGUAAACCGAAUCAAGAUUAGUUAAUC
rnacentral:lncRNA from 1 species